rnacentral:rRNA from 1 species
UACGGGGGGUGUGAGCGUUGUCCGGAAUCACUGGGCGUAAAGGGCGCGUAGGUGGUUUGAUAAGGGUGUGGUGAAAGUCCGGGGCUCAACCCCGGAUCUGCCGUGCCGACUGUCAAACUCGAGGGCUGUAGAGGCAGGCGGAAUUCCGGGUGUAGCGGUGGAAUGCGUAGAGAUCCGGAGGAAGACCGGUGGCGAAGGCGGCCCUCUGGACGGUGACUGACGCUGAGACGCGAAAGCGUGGGGAGCAAACAGG